UGCAAGUCGAACGGUGACCUCGGAGCUUGCUCCGGGCGAUCAGUGGCGAACGGGUGAGUAACACGUGAGUAACCUGCCCCAGACUCUGGGAUAAGCCUUGGAAACGAGGUCUAAUACCGGAUACGAGACGAGACCGCAUGGUCAUUGUCUGGAAAGUUUUUCGGUCUGGGAUGGACUCGCGGCCUAUCAGCUAGUUGGUGAGGUAAUGGCUCACCAAGGCGACGACGGGUAGCCGGCCUGAGAGGGCGACCGGCCACACUGGAACUGAGACACGGUCCAGACUCCUACGGGAGGCAGCAGUGGGGAAUAUUGCACAAUGGGCGAAAGCCUGAUGCAGCAACGCCGCGUGGGGGAUGAAGGCCUUCGGGUUGUAAACCCCUUUUAGCAGGGAAGAAGCGAAAGUGACGGUACCUGCAGAAAAAGCGCCGGCUAACUACGUGCCAGCAGCCGCGGUAAUACGUAGGGCGCAAGCGUUGUCCGGAAUUAUUGGGCGUAAAGAGCUCGUAGGCGGUUUGUCGCGUCUGCUGUGAAAGCCCGAGGCUCAACCUCGGAUCUGCAGUGGGUACGGGCAGACUAGAGUGUGGUAGGGGAGACUGGAAUUCCUGGUGUAGCGGUGGAAUGCGCAGAUAUCAGGAGGAACACCAAUGGCGAAGGCAGGUCUCUGGGCCACAACUGACGCUGAGGAGCGAAAGCGUGGGUAGCAAACAGGAUUAGAUACCCUGGUAGUCCACGCCGUAAACGGUGGGCACUAGAUGUGGGGCUCUUUCCAUGAGUUCCGCGUCGCA
rnacentral:rRNA from 1 species